CCUGACGGUAGUCGUAUGCUCGUCUCCGAGACUAAGCCAUGCAAGUCCAAGUACACGUCCUUGAACGACGGAAACUGCGAACGGCUCAUUAAAUCAGUUGCGAUCUACUCGGCGUUCCGCGCCGCCGGAUAACCGUAGUAAUUCUAGGGCUAAUACGUGCGAAGCGCCGAAGCCGCGAGGCGACGGGCGUUCUCGCCGGAUGUAGGAACCGACCCGGGGACCGCCGGGGCAACCCGGCGCCCCCGAGACGGGGCGAACCACGGUGAAAUGACGGAUCGUCGGCCCCGCGCCGGCGACUCGCCGAAUGAGUUUCUGACCUAUCAACUCGAGACGGCGGGGUAGAGGCCCGCCGCGGUAACGACGGGUAACGGGGAAUCAGGGUUCGAUUCCGGAGAGGGAGCCCGAGAAACGGCUACCACUUCCAAGG
rnacentral:rRNA from 1 species